rnacentral:snoRNA from 1 species
AUUCCAUGAUGAGAACAUUCUAGGAUGUAGUCUUGAAAGCGCUCCCAUGCUUCUGGAACAGAUUCAUCAUUUUGUUGCUGAAAACUUGUAAUCUUCCCACGGAGAGC